ACUCCUACGGGAGGCAGCAGUGGGGAAUAUUGCACAAUGGGGGAAACCCUGAUGCAGCCAUGCCGCGUGUGUGAAGAAGGCCUUCGGGUUGUAAAGCACUUUCAGUAGGGAGGAAGGUAGUGUAGUUAACACCUGCACUAUUUGACGUUACCUACAGAAGAAGCACCGGCUAACUCCGUGCCAGCAGCCGCGGUAAUACGGAGGGUGCGAGCGUUAAUCGGAAUUACUGGGCGUAAAGCGCAUGCAGGCGGCCUGUUAAGUCAGAUGUGAAAGCCCGGGGCUUAACCUCGGAAUUGCAUUUGAAACUGGCAGGCUAGAGUCUUGUAGAGGGGUUAGAAUUUCAGGUGUAGCGGUGAAAUGCGUAGAGAUCUGAAGGAAUACCAGUGGCGAAGGCGGCCCCUGGACAAAGACUGACGCUCAGAUGCGAAA
rnacentral:rRNA from 1 species